GUUUGAUCCUGGCUCAGAUUGAACGCUGGCGGCAUGCCUUACACAUGCAAGUCGAACGGUAACGCGGGGGCAACCCUGGCGACGAGUGGCGAACGGGUGAGUAAUACAUCGGAACAUAUCCAGUAGCGGGGGAUAACCUAUCGAAAGAUGGACUAAUACCGCAUACGAUCUACGGAUGAAAGCAGGGGACCGCAAGGCCUUGCACUAUUGGAGUGGCCGAUGUCGGAUUAGCUAGUUGGUGGGGUAAAAGCUUACCAAGGCGACGAUCCGUAGCUGGUCUGAGAGGACGAUCAGCCACACUGGAACUGAGACACGGUCCAGACUCCUACGGGAGGCAGCAGUGGGGAAUUUUGGACAAUGGGCGCAAGCCUGAUCCAGCAUGCCGCGUGAGUGAAGAAGGCCUUCGGGUUGUAAAGCUCUUUCGGUGAAGACGAAACGGUUCAUGCUAAUAACGUGAACUAAUGACGGUACUCACAGAAGAAGCACCGGCUAACUACGUGCCAGCAGCCGCGGUAAUACGUAGGGUGCAGGCGUUAAUCGGAAUUACUGGGCGUAAAGCGUGCGCAGGCGGUUUGCUAAGACAGGUGUGAAAUCCCCGGGCUUAACCUGGGAAUUGCGCUUGUAACUGGCAAGCUAGAGUGUGGCAGAGGGGGGUGGAAUUCCACGUGUAGCAGUGAAAUGCGUAGAUAUGUGGAGGAACACCGAUGGCGAAGGCAGCCCCCUGGGUUAACACUGACGCUCAUGCACGAAAGCGUGGGGAGCAAACAGGAUUAGAUACCCUGGUAGUCCACGCCCUAAACUAUGUCAACUAGUUGUCGGGGAUGAAAUUCCUUGGUAACGAAGCUAACGCGUGAAGUUGACCGCCUGGGGAGUACGGCCGCAAGGUUAAAACUCAAAGGAAUUGACGGGGACCCGCACAAGCGGUGGAUUAUGUGGAUUAAUUCGAUGCAACGCGAAAAACCUUACCUACCCUUGACAUGCUAGGAAGCCCGCAGAGAUGUGGGUGUGCCCGAAAGGGAACCUAGACACAAGUGCUGCAUGGCUGUCGUCAGCUCGUGUCGUGAGAUGUUGGGUUAAGUCCCGCAACGAGCGCAACCCUUGCCAUUAGUUGCUACAUUCAGUUGGGCACUCUAAUGGGACCGCCGGUGACAAACCGGAGGAAGGUGGGGAUGACGUCAAGUCCUCAUGGCCCUUAUGGGUAGGGCUUCACACGUAAUACAAUGGUCGGUACAGAGGGCUGCCAACCCGCAAGGGGGAGCUAAUCCCAGAAAGCCGAUCGUAGUCCGGAUUGUAGUCUGCAACUCGACUGCAUGAAGCCGGAAUCGCUAGUAAUCGCGGAUCAGCAUGUCGCGGUGAAUACGUUCCCGGGUCUUGUACACACCGCCCGUCACACCAUGGGAGUGGGUUCCACCAGAAGUAGUUAGCCUAACCGCAAGGAGGGCGAUUACCACGGUGAGAUUCAUGACUGGGGUAAGUCGUAACAAGGUA
rnacentral:rRNA from 1 species